AUUGAACGCUGGCGGCAGGCCUAACACAUGCAAGUCGAGCGAGCGGCGGACGGGUGAGUAAUGUAUGGGGAACUGCCCGAUAGAGGGGGAUAACUACUGGAAACGGUAGCUAAUACCGCAUACUAUCGGAUGUGCCCAUAUGGGAUUAGCUAGUUGGUGGGGUAAUGGCUCACCUAGGCGACGAUCCCUAGCUGGUCUGAGAGGAUGACCAGCCACACUGGAACUGAGACACGGUCCAGACUCCUACGGGAGGCAGCAGUGGGGAAUAUUGCACAAUGGGCGCAAGCCUGAUGCAGCCAUGCCGCGUGUAUGAAGAAGGCCUUCGGGUUGUAAAGCACUUUCAGCGGGGAGGCGUUACCCGCAGAAGAAGCACCGGCUAACUCCGUGCCAGCAGCCGCGGUAAUUC
rnacentral:rRNA from 1 species